rnacentral:rRNA from 1 species
UGCUGCUUCGCUGACGAGUGGCGGACGGGUGAGUAAUGUCUGGGAAACUGCCUGAUGGAGGGGGAUAACUACUGGAAACGGUGGCUAAUACCGCAUAACGUCGCAAGACCAAAGAGGGGGACCUUCGGGCCUCUUGCCAUCAGAUGUGCCCAGAUGGGAUUAGCUUGUUGGUGAGGUAACGGCUCACCAAGGCGACGAUCCCUAGCUGGUCUGAGAGGAUGACCAGCCACACUGGAACUGAGACACGGUCCAGACUCCUACGGGAGGCAGCAGUGGGGAAUAUUGCACAAUGGGCGCAAGCCUGAUGCAGCCAUGCCGCGUGUAUGAAGAAGGCCUUCGGGUUGUAAAGUACUUUCAGCGGGGAGGAAGGUGUUGUGGUUAAUAACCGCAGCAAUUGACGUUACCCGCAGAAGAAGCACCGGCUAACUCCGUGCCAGCAGCCGCGGUAAUACGGAGGGUGCAAGCGUUAAUCGGAAUUACUGGGCGUAAAGCGCACGCAGGCGGUCUGUCAAGUCGGAUGUGAAAUCCCCGGGCUCAACCUGGGAACUGCAUUCGAAACUGGCAGGCUUGAGUCUUGUAGAGGGGGGUAGAAUUCCAGGUGUAGCGGUGAAAUGCGUAGAGAUCUGGAGGAAUACCGGUGGCGAAGGCGGCCCCCUGGACAAAGACUGACGCUCAGGUGCGAAAGCGUGGGGAGCAAACAGGAUUAGGUACCCUGGUAGUCCACGCCGUANACGAUGUCUACUUGG